UACGUAGGGUGCGAGCGUUGUCCGGAAUUAUUGGGCGUAAAGAGCGUGUAGGCGGCCAGGUAGGUCUGCUGUGAAAACUCGAGGCUCAACCUCGAGACGUCGGCGGAAACCAUCUGGCUAGAGUCCGGAAGAGGAGAGUGGAAUUCCUGGUGUAGCGGUGAAAUGCGUAGAUAUCAGGAGGAACACCGGUGGCGAAGGCGGCUUUCUGGACAGUAACUGACGCUGAGGCGCGAAAGCUAGGGGAGCAAACAGG
rnacentral:rRNA from 1 species